GCGUGAGGGCCCAUGGCAGGGGUCCUUGGGGGCAGGAGCUCUGGACUGGUUGGUUUGCAUCUGAAAGGUAUGCUUUACAGGCGUUGACACUUAAAAUACGUGCAUCACACGCAGGCACGGAGCUGCUCUUCAUGCACCAGAGACGGCAGAGACCAGCCUUCAGAGGGCCGCUCAUCUGGGGGCUGCGGCUCACGCAGCGUGGUGAGUAGCGGGACCAGGGCUGGGUUAACUGCGCGUGAAGUUGGUACCUGGCAGGGUCGCUGAGAGCGCGCGGAUAAGACGACCGCGAAUGGAGAGUGGCGUGGCCGGGGACCGGAAUCCUCAGUAAGAGUGGCCUAGGACUGAGAAGAGCGCUGGUGGUUGCACGAGGUCACUCCGGGCCAGGAGGGCCCGUCUGGGCAUGACUAGCCUGGCAAGGGGUCGCCGCAGGUCGCGGAGGAGCGUGUCCCGGGUCCCUCUCUCUCGCUGCAGCUGCAGGUCGGGCCGGGGGGCGCGCCCCGCAGCGCCUUCCAGGGAGAAUGCCGACUGUGCGCGUCACAAGGGCGCGCGCUCCGGGC